GCUCGCUUGGCCAAGGGGUAAGGCGUCUGUCUCGUAUCCAGCCAUACGGACAACAGAAGAUCGUCGGUUCGAAUCCGACAGUGAGCA